UACAGGGGGUGCAAACGUUGCUCGGAAUCAUUGGGCGUAAAGCGCGCGCAGGCGGUCCUUUAAGUCUGAUGUGAAAGCCCACGGCUCAACCGUGGAGGGUCAUUGGAAACUGGGGGACUUGAGUGCAGAAGAGGAGAGUGGAAUUCCACGUGUAGCGGUGAAAUGCGUAGAGAUGUGGAGGAACACCUGUGGCGAAAGCGGCUCACUGGACCACAACUGACGCUGAUGCGCGAAAGCUAGGGGAGCAAACAGG
rnacentral:rRNA from 1 species